GAAUACCCCACACUCCCUAAUGAGUGUACAAGUAGCCCGAGGUGCAAGGGAUGAUGGGCACCUUACCUCCACGGCAGGAGUGGCAUGGAAAGAAGCUGUCUGACUUGCUGUCUGGAGCCUGGCACACUGAUUGCUCUGCUGACCCCUGAGAAGCCAGAGGAUCCCAAAGGUCCUUCUAGCAGCAGCAGGACCAGCCACGGAGGUACCGCCUCAUCAAACGCGAUCGUCUGAUCCACUCCUUACAGCCACACAAAUAACUCAGCAACCCGAGAGGAUGUAAGGCUUAUGAUCCUGAGAGCCCUGCUGAACCCCGAUGCACAAAAACUUGAAAUGGUAUUAGUGCUGGAAUUCACACUUCACAAAGAAAUACAUGUUGGCAGAUAGACCAAAUGCAUAUAAGUUUUUUUUUCUUUAACUUGAAAUAAAUGUGAAUUAACAAAAGUU